CUAAGCCCAGGCCAUGGCAGCUAUGGAGGAGACAGAGGAUCUAGCGUCUGGUUAAUAUUGCUUGUGAACUUCGGCCCUGGGCUCUGAGAACAGAAGUGGAGGCUCUGACACGGGACAUGCCACAGGAGAUUUAUAUGUAUGAAUAUUUGUCUGCAAUUAUUGUGCACCAGGUGCAUGCCUAGUGCCCAAGGAAGCCAGAAGAGAGUAUUGGAGCCCUAGAACUGGAGUUACAGAUGGCUGUGAACCACCAUGUGGGUGCUGGGCGUGGAACCCAGGUCCUCUGCAAAAACAAUAACCCAGGGGUGUGGACCAUCAGAGCAUGGGAAACCUACUAGUGGCCACAUCCUCAAAGAAUAAACUAAUCCAGGUUUCAAAAGACUUAAAACAACUGUGCUGAGCACACUCAGCAGUCCACCUGCUGGAAAGACAACAGACAGGGAAGCCAGCAGUGUGGCUGCUGAGGCAGAAGCUGGAGCGAUUUAACACUGAGCCAAAGAAAGCCAGAGAUCAGCAAGUGCUGCCAAGGCUAAGCAUCAGCAAGGAGGGGCUCUCCCCCAGAAACAUCAGAGGGAGCCGGGCCUGCAGACAUCUUGAUGGGAGUUCCCUUUUGGCUCAAGGAUGCAAGAGAAGAAUGCAUUUCUGUUGGAAGGAAAGAAGGAUGUGAGGAGGAAGGGAGAAGGGGGAAUAAAUCUAGGACCAGAAAGUCAAAGUUGAGCAGCUGACAAACACGAAACAUAAACUGGAUCUCAUUAGUGAUUAGAGAAAUACGUGUUAAAGCACUAGUGAGCAUGAAUGUCAAAAUUACAAAGUAUCUGGGUAGAUGGUGCACCCCUGUGACCCUAGCACUUAGGGGGCUGAAGCAGGAAGAUUCAGGGUUCGAGGCCAGCCUGAACUACAUAGACUCUGUCUCAAUGAUAUAACAACAAACAACAACAACAACAACAACAACAACAACAAAAAGCUGAGGAGACAGGGGUUAAGGGACUUAUUGUCAAGUCUGGCGCCCUGGACCCACGGUGUGGAAGCAGAGAAAACCCUCUAAGAAGGUUUCCUCUAAUCAACACAUAGGUGCCUGACACCACACAGCCAACCUCCAAUAAACAGUAAAAAUUUAAAGCUGAUAACAUUCAAGGUUAGAAGUGGGUGGGGACCGG
rnacentral:lncRNA from 1 species